UACGAAGGGGCUAGCGUUGCUCGGAAUGACUGGGCGUAAAGGGCGCGUAGGCGGUUUGUACAGUCAGGUGUGAAAUUCCCGGGCUCAACCUGGGGGCUGCACUUGAUACGUAGGAACUGGAGUGGGGAAGAGGGUCGUGGAAUUCCCAGUGUAGAGGUGAAAUUCGUAGAUAUUGGGAAGAACACCGGUGGCGAAGGCGGCGACCUGGUCCUUGACUGACGCUGAGGCGCGAAAGCGUGGGGAGCAAACAGG
rnacentral:rRNA from 1 species